rnacentral:rRNA from 1 species
UAAGGAAUAUUGGUCAAUGGACGCAAGUCUGAACCAGCCAUGCCGCGUGGAGGAUGAAGGUCCUCUGGAUUGUAAACUUCUUUUAUCUGGGAAGAAACCCAUAUUUUCUAAUGUGGUUGACGGUACCAGAUGAAUAAGCACCGGCUAACUCCGUGCCAGCAGCCGCGGUAAUACGGAGGGUGCAAGCGUUAUCCGGAUUCACUGGGUUUAAAGGGUGCGUAGGCGGGUUGGUAAGUCCGUGGUGAAAUCCCCAAGCUUAACUUGGGAACUGCCGUGGAUACUAUCAAUCUUGAAUAUCGUGGAGGUAAGCGGAAUAUGUCAUGUAGCGGUGAAAUGCUUAGAGAUGACAUAGAACACCAAUUGCGUAGGCAGCUUACUACACGAUCAUUGACGCUGAGGCACGAAAGCGUGGGGAGCAAACAG